GACGAACGCUGGCGGCGUGCUUAACACAUGCAAGUCGAACGGAAAGGCCUCUUUCGGGGGGUACUCGAGUGGCGAACGGGUGAGUAACACGUGAGUAACCUGCCCUUGACUUUGGGAUAACUUCAGGAAACUGGGGCUAAUACCGGAUAGGAGCUCCUGCUGCAUGGUGGGGGUUGGAAAGUUUCGGCGGUUGGGGAUGGACUCGCGGCUUAUCAGCUUGUUGGUGGGGUAGUGGCUUACCAAGGCUUUGACGGGUAGCCGGCCUGAGAGGGUGACCGGCCACAUUGGGACUGAGAUACGGCCCAGACUCCUACGGGAGGCAGCAGUGGGGAAUAUUGCACAAUGGGUGGGAGCCUGAUGCAGCAACGCCGUGGGCGGGAUGACGGCCUUCGGGUUGUAAACCGCUUUCGCUCAUGACGGAGCUUUGUGUGACGGUAGUGGGUAAAGAAGCACCGGCUAACUACGUG
rnacentral:rRNA from 1 species